rnacentral:rRNA from 1 species
CGAAAUGCAUAAGUAAUGUGAAUUGCAGAAUUCAGUGAAUCAUCGAAUCUUUGAACGCACAUUGCGCCCGCCAGUAUUCUGGCGGGCAUGCCUGUCCGAGCGUCAUUUCAACCCUCGAACCCCUCCGGGGGGUCGGCGUUGGGGAUCGGCCCUGCCU